CUUCUCACAUGUGUGUAGGCAGAAUGGGAAAGCACCUUCCCCCAUGUCUGAACACAGCACGGGAAAGCACCAGCCUGAGAACAACUGGUGCAGUCCUUGGAAGUUAUCUGCCCACAAAACAUAUCUUGUCCUUGAAGAUGAGCCAAGAUGCCUCACUCUGAAAAUAGGGAGACCUUGAGGACGAGUGAAAACACUGCCCCUGCUUACCAAGCAGCUUCUAAGAAAAUCAACAAGGUGCUCUGGCCUGUUCCCUGCUGAGACGAGAAAGAUGAGUACAGCACUUGGCUGAGGUCCAAGAAAGGCAGUAUAAAAAUAAAGGUGCUGCGCCUCUUCGGGGCUGCAGCCAUUGUCUGUCUGUCUGUGUUGUCUGUGUUUUUUCUCUCAUUUCACCCAAAGAAGAUGAGCGGCACAUUACAUCUAGUGCCCAACGUGGGGCGUCCUCUCAGAGUGAGUUGUACAUAUAUUCAGCUCCACGCCUCCCCUUCGGACUGUUCGACUUCGACAGCAGUCACAGUCAAGUGGCGCCCGAACAGGGACCUGAAGUACGGAGGAGUACGUGAGAGCCGCCAUGGGAUAACAGUGCGCUCACAAAACAGGUGUUCGUGGUGUGAGACGCAUUCUUCCUGCUCUACAUCCUGAAUAUAAGCGCAAGAGGCUUCUCCGAGCUCUGCCAUCUAAUUGUCAUGAAAACUUGAAACUUUAAGAUCCUGCUGCUGUUGCAGUUGCAGCUGCGUUCCUCCUGCCAGUUCCUAGACUUGUCAUUGGAAUGCUAAAAGAGGUAUCUAAGCUGGCCUGUGCAUAUGGCAAAACGACAAAUUUGACUACUUCUGUAUUAUCUAAACUCCACCAAGAACUAGGAGAAUUGCGAGCUGCGGUGCUUCAGAAUCACGCUGCUGUAGACUGUCUGCUGUUAAAAGAUCAUAUAAGAUGUGAACAAUUUCCAAGAAUGUGCUGUUUCAAUUUGUCUGAUUUUUCUCAAACUACCCAAAAUCAAUUAGAUGAUAUCUCUCAUAUUGUCAAUAAGUUUUUACAAAUGCUUAAGCUAUCUAACUAGUUUUCUUAAUUUCAUUAGAUAUAACUAGUAAUUGUAAGUCUGCCUUUGUUAUGUAUCUGUAUUCCUAUUCUGUUAAUGUGUGUAUGCAAUUUAACUAGUAGUUUGUUAAAACUUAUAUAUAUAUAUUCAAGUUAUGUCUGUGUUUCAACAUGUUCGAUCUCAGCCAUGUAAUGUAUAUUUCACACAAAACUGAGAUACCAUAUAAUCCACAAGGCCAAGGCAUUGUGAAACGUGCCCAUGGCACCCUUAAAGCUCAAUUGGAAAAAACAAAAAAGGGAGAGUUAUAUCCCUGGUCACCACAGAACCAUUUAAAUUAUAUCUUAUUUGCAGCCAAAACUGCAUUUGAUAUAUUAAAUCAGAUAAAAGACAUGUGCAAAGAACCCCUAAAUAGUCUCUGGCAUGCUAUCACACCUCUCUUAACCCUAAGCAUUUUAUGUCUUCUAUUGCUGUUACUAGGGCCUUGUGUCCUUCGCAGCAUGUGGAAACUCAUCCAACAAGCCUUAAGAGACCUGCAUCAUUUGAAAUUGCAGAUGGCCCCCCCACUUGUAAAUCAUAAGUUCUAAAGUCAAGUAUGGUAGCCAAUGACAAGUAAAAUAUGGCUGAAUUGUAAAUACCAACCUAAGACAGAGAGUAGUCAACAGAAGACUAUAGCCCCAUGACGGGUAAAGAUUUACUUCAACCAUACAACCUAAGACAGGCACAUACCUUGACCCAGUCUGAGUUGGGCUUGUUGUUUUAUUAAAGAAAAAAGGGGGAGAUGUUGGGGACGGCCUUUGUCUUCUCACAUGUGUGUAGGCAGAAUGGGAAAGCACCUUCCCCCAUGUCUGAACGCAGCACGGGAAAGCACCAGCCUGAGAACAACUGGUGCAGUCCUUGGACGUUAGCUGCCCACAAAACAUAUCUUGUCCUUGAAGAUGAGCCAAGAUGCCUCACUCUGAAAAUAGGGAGACCUUGAGGACGAGUGAAAACACUGCCCCUGCUUACCAAGCAGCUUCUAAGAAAAUCAACAAGGUGCUCUGGCCUGCCCCCUCUGAGAUGAGAAAGAUGAGUACAGCACUUGGCUGAGGGCCGAGAAAGGCAGUAUAAAAAUAAAGGUGCUGCGCCUCUUCGGGGCUGCAGCCAUUGUCUGUC